ACUAAGUGGACAGACCAUAGUAGUAGCGGGUCGCCCCGAAACCCUAGCCCCCACUCCAUCUCGCCAUGCCACCACGUUCGUCCCUCCAGUCACUCCUCCUCAUGGCGGGCUCCACCUCCGUCGGCACCGGGGGCUCGGGCGUCCUCCUCGCCGCGCGCCGCCGCUUCCCCGCCACUUCGGGGGCCCAGCACAUCCGCUUCCUCCACUCCUUCUCGUCCCGCCCCCUCCUCCCCCGGCGGGCCGAGCUCGCCUGCUGCUUCGGGACCGCCCCCGCCGAGGCCGUGCCCACCGCCGGUUACUGAUGAGAUCGCUGGUGGUGUACCAACCGGCCAUGGCCGACUCGCCACCCGUGCUCCCCACGGACGUGCCGAGCCAAUCGUUCUCCGUUUCACCGGGUCUGGGCUGCGCCUAAGUCAGAGCCACUGACUCUCUGAUGGGCGGCGCUUAUCCACCGACGCCACCGACCACAUACCUCGACGCGCUGCAGCAAGUGCCUCACAGCGAGAUGGCGGAAGUGGCCUGGAUGGUUCAUGUGGCGGCAUGGUGCGGCGGCAAGCCGUCCACGGCAUGGUCCGUGGAGGAGGACCAGCUGUUGCUCUGAGGUCUCUCCCGGUACGUACGCGUUGCUGUCGCCAUGGCUAAAAGCCUUCUCUAUUAGCAGAGCAGAGCAUAGCAGAGCCUCUGUUUUGAGUGACACCAAGACUUUAGUGACUCCUCUGUCAAAUCCUCCAUGAAUUCCCUCCUUCUCAAGGUUUGCCGGCCAAGACAAUGUCAUAAAGUGCCUCAACAUCGCAUAUGGGCUAGCUGAGAAGACCGUGCUUGAUGUCGCGUAUCGCAACCGGUGGCUGUCAGACUUGGAGAAGAAGAAGAAGAAAGCUGCUAAGGGAGUUCAAUUGGGGCAAGAAAAAUCUGCAGGAGGAAAUGUUACCAAGGUAAUUGCAUUGGAGUGUGCUUUUGAAUGGCAUGUUUACAGAACUCUAUAGCUUAGCAGAUUGGUCUGGAACAUUUUAAGAACACAAAAAAAAUAAUAGUAAAUGAGCUCCAAUCAAACAUAUGGUUGUUCACAGGUUCAGUAUUGUUUGACUGAACUUGAAAAAUUAGUAUCACAGGAGAUCUGCAAACUGAAACAUAUAUAGGAGUAGUAUUCUAUCAUCCAUUAUCAUUUAAGUUCUACUCGAACUCAUCGUAAUCAGAUUCAGACCUCCAAUGGUAUCCAACCAUGAAACAGAACAAAAAUAUCCUCUAUACAGGUUAUGACCGUGAAGAUAAGUUACUGGUUCGUAGAUUCAGACAGUUCACUGCUGCACUUCACUGCCCAAUUUGAACGCUCACACCUGGGCACGAACGGGUUGGUACAGCUGUACGAAACCAUGUAUGUACAAGGGCAUCAAAGACGAGAUAUUUCUCCCAUCUGCUAUGAACUGCGUAGGUCUUUUGUAGAGCAAUUGGCAGUACCAUAAUGUAGAUAGCAUGUUGGAUACAACUGACUCAACUAUGGCUUGGAGUUGAAGCUAUUGAGCAGGGGCAAUGGGCUAUAUAUGGAUGGUCUAUAGGUCCAAAUGUUUAUGAAUGUUCUGAAGUUCACUACUGCACAGUAUAUCAUCUUCAUAUUGUCUUACCAAAUGGUAGGAAAAUAUGUAUCCAUAGGGCAAUUUUACUGCCUGGUGGUUGUUAAGAAGCCGUAGAAGUAUUUUUAAGGAAACCCGCAAGGGAGAAAUGAUAGACAUUUGCAAGUUGACUAUGCAUAAGUGCCAGACAUGCUAUGUCCAUGUUUUAUCUUCCUAGGUGGUCUUGUCUCAUCAAGCUCUUGAUGUAAAAUGUCCUCAUAUAACACAUCUAUGCAUGCUUACAAACUGUAGCAGUUUCUAGCUUUUUAUGGUGAGCCGCUAAGAAACUGUACCUUAUCCCUAAUGCUUUCCAUGACAAAUAGUUGAUGGUGUAUAUGUGUAACACGUGGAGAAUAUUAAUGCAAGACAUAAUAUGAGUUUGUGUAGCAGGUUCAUUUGUUUGUAGCUCCUGGAAAAAGUAGUAGUGCUUGAGAUCGAUAACAAUAGAUUUUACCUCUUAAUUGUUCUCGAAACUCUUAGCUGGGCACUACAUCCUUGUUGUAACAAAAACACCAGGAGCUGAAAAUUCAGUUAAAACAUACCACCAUUUGUACACUAUAAAUCUUCUAAAGCAACUAGGAGCUCAGAGAUUAAUGACUCGCUAAUUGUUCUUCACGGAUAAGCAUGCUCAUUUCUUUGACUCCAUCGAGCUUAGUAAUUUGUGCCCCACAAUUCUUCACUUACUAAUAUGAUGAGCUAUUGGUGUUAUUGCUAUACAAAAUUGUUCUAAUAUUUUAGCUUGUCUGUCUCAAUACAAUAUUACAUAGGUGAUGUCUUGUUAAUAGAAAUCACUCACUUUUUCGUUUUCGUAUAUUUAUUCCCGUAGCUACUGUACAACACAACAUGCAAGGAAAUAUAUGUCUGUUGAAAUUCAAUUUUAAUUAUUCUUUGUUCUGUACAUAAAUCUUUUGGAUGAAGUGGCAGUCAAACCAUCAAAGAAACUAAGAACUUAUUCCAGUGUGUGCAUUAUUUGAGGGCCACAAAACUCUUCUUCUGUAUGAAAUAUUGUCUCUUAGUACCAGUAUGAUAUCACAAUCUUGACUAAAGCAUUUGAAUUUAAGCUAGUAGAUAUUGAUCUCUGUGAUUGAAAUGUGUCUGUAUCAGAUUACCUUUGGUAUCCAGCAUCAGCCAAACUAUGUUGUAUAUCUUUCGUAGUAAAUGUAUCAUCUUAAGAGUGUACUGAAGCUAUAUUAAUUCGUAGGCUUUCUCCAUGGUUAAUAUAAGUUAUGUAACUAUAGGCUUUCCCCAUGGUUAAUAUAAGUUAUGUAAAGCAAUGUUUACUUGGAAGUGUAACUGUACUGCCAUUCUCAUCUUUUAAUAUAUAGCGACGGUGCUGCCGCACUUGUGCUAGUUAGUAGGGAGAAAGCUAAGAACCUUGGCCUUCAAGUUCUUGCAAGGACAAGAGGGUAGGCUGAUGCUGCUCAGGUAAAUCUUACAUGCCUCGUCAUUAAUCAUUGUUGGUGAAGCAAAUGUCAUUUGAGAAAUCUCGGCCUAUUGUUCUUGUUAAUGAAUACGGUUACCAACAUCAUCCUUUCAUGUGUCUCAAAACUGUCAACCUGACUCAUAGAAUGAUCUUUUUCUUUAGGAUUCAUGGUUAGUUUUUUCUUUUUUCUUGUUAUUAUGCAUUACUAUGAGUUCAUUGUAUUAAGAUUCCUUACAACUUCAGGCACAUGAGCUAUUUACCCGGCCUUCUUCACGGCUCGCGGCAGUGUCUUCCUUUGAUUCGUUCGUGCAACAAGGAGGGGACGCGCCCUUCUUCAUGUCUCGUGCAACAAGGGUGAUUGGCGCAGAGUACCGCUGCCCGGUGGGCGUCAUGCUCUUCAACCACUUGGAGGUGGAGUUCGCCGCGAAGCUCGGCGACUACGUCGCAUAGAUGAUCGUCCAGGUGAUUGUGAAACUAGAGGUCACCGAGGUGGAGGACUUCGAUACCACCGUUUGGGGGGAGGGAGGAUUUGGGUCCACCGGCGUCUGAACUCCGAGCCUUGGUAGAUACAUCUAGAGAAGUGGUAUGUUUAGGCUGCUGGUUGAACACUAGGAAAGGUACCCACCUUUGGUUGUGUGUGUUUACUGUUAAAUGGAAUCUUGUGAUCUCUUCCAGUUGAGAUGUUCAUUGUUGCAUCCAUGAACGGUGCAAGUGUUAAAUGGUCCCGUGACCUUAAUUUA